CCUACGGGAGGCUGCAGUGGGGAAUAUUGGACAAUGGGGGGAACCCUGAUCCAGCCAUGCCGCGUGUGUGAAGAAGGCCCUCGGGUUGUAAAGUACUUUCAGUGAGGAAGAACGCCUGGUGGUUAAUACCCAUCAGGAAAGACAUCACUCACAGAAGAAGCACCGGCUAACUCCGUGCCAGCAGCCGCGGUAAUACGGAGGGUGCGAGCGUUAAUCGGAAUUACUGGGCGUAAAGCGCACGUAGGUGGCUUGAUAAGCCGGUUGUGAAAGCCCCGGGCUCAACCUGGGAACGGCAUCCGGAACUGUCAAGCUAGAGUCCAGGAGAGGAGGGUAGAAUUCCCGGUGUAGCGGUGAAAUGCGUAGAGAUCGGGAGGAAUACCGGUGGCGAAGGCGGCCUUCUGGACUGACACUGACACUGAGGUGCGAAAGCGUGGGUAGCAAACAGGAUUAGAUACCCGAGUAGUC
rnacentral:rRNA from 1 species